rnacentral:rRNA from 1 species
GAUUAACGCUAGCGGCAGGCAUAAUACAUGCAAGUUGAACGGCAGCACAGGUAGCAAUACUGGGUGGCGAGUGGCGCACGGGCGCGUAACACGUAUGCAACCUACCCUAUACAGGCGAAUAACCUUUAGAAAUGAGGGCUAAUACGCCGUAGUAUUACAGAUGGGCAUCUAUUUGUAAUUAAAGAUUUAUCGGUAUAGGAUGGGCAUGCGUCCCAUUAGUUAGUUGGUAAGGUAACGGCUUACCAAGACGAUGAUGGGUAGGGGAUCUGAGAGGACUUACCCCCACACUGGUACUGAGACACGGGCCAGACUCCUACGGGAGGCAGCAGUAAGGAAUAUUGGGCAAUGGCCGCGAGGCUGACCCAGCCAUGCCGCGUGCAGGAAGACGGCCUUAUGGGUUGUAAACUGCUUUUAUACGGGAAUAAUAGAGUGUACGCGUACAUUUAUGCAAGUAUCGUAUGAAUAAGCAUCGGCUAACUCCGUG